GGACGGUUAGCUCAGUUGGUUAGAGCGCACCCUUGACAUGGGUGAGGCCGUUGGUUCGAGUCCAAUACUGUCCA
rnacentral:tRNA from 2 species